ensembl:snRNA U6 U6 spliceosomal RNA
GUGCUCUCUUUGGCAGCACAUGUACUAAAAUUGGAAUGAUACAGAGAAGAUUAGCACAGCCCCUGUGCAAAGAUGACAUGCAAAUUCGUGAAGCAUUCCAUAUUUUU